rnacentral:rRNA from 1 species
GAUGAACGCUGGCGGCGUGCCUAAUACAUGCAAGUCGAGCGAACAGACGAGGAGCUUGCUCCUCUGACGUUAGCGGCGGACGGGUGAGUAACACGUGGAUAACCUACCUAUAAGACUGGGAUAACUUCGGGAAACCGGAGCUAAUACCGGAUAAUAUAUUGAACCGCAUGGUUCAAUAGUGAAAGACGGUUUUGCUGUCACUUAUAGAUGGAUCCGCGCCGCAUUAGCUAGUUGGUAAGGUAACGGCUUACCAAGGCAACGAUGCGUAGCCGACCUGAGAGGGUGAUCGGCCACCCUGGACCUGGGACACGGUCCGACCUCCUACGGGAGGCAGCAGUGGGGAAUCUUCCGCAAUGGGCGAAAGCCUGACGGAGCACCGCCGCGUGAGUGAUAAAGGUCUUCGGUUCGUAAACCUCUGUUAUUAGGAAAGAACAAAUGGUAAGUAACUAUGCACGUCUUGACGGUACCUAAUCAGAAAGCCACGGCUAACUACGUG